AUACGUAGGGGGCGAGCGUUGUCCGGAGUUAUUGGGCGUAAAGGGCGUGUAGGCGGCUUGUUAAGUCAGGUGUGAAAUUUCAGGGCUUAACCCUGAAACUGCGCUUGAAACUGGCAGGCUCGAGGACAGGAGAGGGAAGUGGAAUUCCCGGUGUAGCGGUGGAAUGCGUAGAUAUCGGGAGGAACACCGGUGGCGAAGGCGGCUUCCUGGACUGUACCUGACGCUGAGGCGCGAAAGCUAGGGGAGCAAACAGGAAUAGAUACCCUGGUAGUCCUAGCUGUAAACGAUGAGUGCUAGGUGUGGGAGGUUGAAAUCCUUCCGUGCCGGAGUUAACGCAAUAAGCACUCCGCCUGGGGAGUACGGCCGCAAGGCUAAA
rnacentral:rRNA from 1 species